GAUGAACGCUGGCGGCGUGCCUAACACAUGCAAGUCGAACGGAGAUUACGGACGGAAGUUUUCGGAUGGAAGACUGUAAUUCUUAGUGGCGGACGGGUGAGUAACGCGUGGGCAACCUGCCCUAUACAGGGGGAUAGCAGCUGGAAACGGCUGGUAGACCGCAUAAGUCGGCGAGACCGCAUGGUUUUGCCGGGAAAUGAGCAAUCAGGUAUAGGAUGGGCCCGCGUCCGAUUAGCCAGUUGGCAGGGUAAAAGCCUACCAAAGCAACGAUCGGUAGCCGGACUGAGAGGCCGGACGGCCACAUUGGGACUGAGACACGGCCCAAACUCCUACGGGAGGCAGCAGUGGGGGAUAUUGCACAAUGGAGGAAACUCUGAUGCAGCGACGCCGCGUGAGUGAAGAAGUAUUUCGGUAUGUAAAGCUCUAUCAGCAGGGAAGAUGAUGACGGUACCUGACGAAGAAGCCCCGGCUAACUACGUG
rnacentral:rRNA from 1 species